UGGAAUUGUGUGUGUAUAAUAUAUAUAUAUAUAUUUUAUUAUUUUUUAAAAAAUUUUUUAAUUGGGGUAGCCCCCAAAAUAUUGGGACAUUUAAAAAAAAAAAGACAACUCUAUUGCGCAGAGUAGCUGUUGACAUUAUUGUUGCGCAGGCACUUUGUUGACUCUAGAGAACCUUCGGCCAAUCGCAAAUUCCCGUGGCGGCGACUUUGCAUGCAGAUGUCAUCCAUAUCAACAUUCGAUGCUAGUUUCUGCGCCUACCAUGGUGACCACGGGUAACGGGGAAUCAGGGUUCCAUUCCGUACAGGGACCCUGAGAAACAGCUACCACAUGCAAGGAAGACAGCAGCAGCGCAAAUGACCCACUCCCGACUUGGGAAGGUAGUGA